rnacentral:misc_RNA from 1 species
UCCGGUUUGGCACCGGCAGUCUCUCCAGAGUCCCCGGCAUUAUCCGCUGGCAACUGGAGACGGGGGUUGCGCUCGUUGCGGGACUUAACCCAACAUCUCACGACACGAGCUGACGACAGCCAUGCAGCACCUGUGACCGGGUCCCGAAGGAGGCCCCCUGUUUCCAAGGGGUUUCCCGGCCAUGUCAAGCCUAGGUAAGGUUCUUCGCGUUGCGUCGAAUUAAACCACAUGCUCCGCUGCUUGUGCGGGUCCCCGUCAAUUCCUUUGAGUUUUAACCUUGCGGCCGUACUCCCCAGGUGGAAUACUUAACGCUUUCGCUUGGACGCAUAGCACCAAUGUGCCAUACAUCGAGUAUUCAUCGUUUAGGGCGUGGACUAC